rnacentral:rRNA from 1 species
UACGUAGGGCGCAAGCGUUGUCCGGAAUUGUUGGGCGUAAAGAGCUCGUAGGCGGCUUGUCGCGUCGGAUGUGAAAGCUCGGGGCUUAACCCCGGGUCUGCAUUCGAUACGGGCAGGCUAGAGUGUGGUAGGGGAGAUCGGAAUUCCUGGUGUAGCGGUGAAAUGCGCAGAUAUCAGGAGGAACACCGGUGGCGAAGGCGGAUCUCUGGGCCAUUACUGACGCUGAGGAGCGAAAGCGUGGGGAGCGAACAGG